rnacentral:rRNA from 1 species
CGGAGGAUCCAAGCGUUAUCCGGAUUUAUUGGGUUUAAAGGGUGCGUAGGCGGCUUAUUAAGUCAGGGGUGAAAGACGGUGGCUCAACCAUCGCAGUGCCUUUGAUACUGAUGAGCUUGAAUGAACUAGAGGUAGGCGGAAUGUGACAAGUAGCGGUGAAAUGCAUAGAUAUGUCACAGAACACCGAUUGCGAAGGCAGCUUACUAUGGUUUUAUUGACGCUGAGGCACGAAAGCGUGGGGAUCAAACAGGAUUAGAUACCCUGGUAGUCCACGCCCUAAACGAUGAAUACUCGCUGCUAGCGAUAUACAGUUAGCGGCUAAGCGAAAGCGUUAAGUAUUCCACCUGGGGAGUACGCCCGCAAGGGUG